UGUCAACUAGUUUGUUUAUAGCUGUUUUGUUAGUCGACCUUAAAUUAGUCAACCUUAAAACACUCUGCGAUUUUUUAAAUGGAUAAAAAUAUCAAACAUUUUUCCACAAAUUUUGUGUUGCCAACCAAAUUUCUUAUGCUGUCAUUGAAAAUGUUGGAAAAAGCCUAUGUCGAUCUUCAACGUCUUCGACUGACGGUAACGUCGACAAAGUGAAGGAAAUGGUGAUGGAAAAUCGUCAUUCAAGCUUAAAAGAGAUGACUCAGGAUCUAGACAUAUCUCACGAAUCCGUUCGCAUCAUUUUAGUUGAUGUUUUGGACACGAGACGCGUCGCAGUGCGGUUUGUUCCGAAGGAGCUGAAUUUUCUUCAAAAAGAGCACCGCAACAGGUUGCUGAAGACAUACGAGGUGUGUUCAUAAAAUAACGGGAAUUUUUUAAUUUCGCAGGUUUGGAGAGUCCGAUCGUCAAAAAUUUUUUUUAUUAUGUUGGUACACAUGUCCCUGAAAUAUGAUAACAUUUUUAGCUGAAUUCAUUGUUUACUUUGUGGCAGCCGCUAAGGUUAGACGUGUUUUUAUGAGCUCGGCGAUUUUCGUUUG